rnacentral:misc_RNA from 1 species
CACUUCUCUACUCCCUCAAAGCCUAACUUUAACUUCUCCAAAAUGCCGUCCAUCACCACCACUGUCCUCCUUCUCCUCCUCCUCUUCACUUCCACAACCUCAGCUCCAUCCCAGGCCUAGACACCUUCCAUUCCCAGCAAUCCCACCUGGACCAAAAAUCUGCCAAUGACUCUCUUCAUUCUUUACCUUCCUCUCUCAAAAAAUUCUCUCCCCCUGUCCUCUUCUUGCCCUCACAUCCUUUCUCUUCCUUUCCUCCUCACCAACCAGACAUGGCUCUGCAAGCUGGUGUCUCCACCUUCAAGUUCUCAUCCUCACUGGCACAGGUCUCUCUCUUCUUCAUUGUCUCUUCAGUUGCUUUAUUUUUACUCUUGAUGUUGCGACUUAACUAUACAGCGCCUUCAAUUGUUUAGUUCAUCAUCACUUCCCCUUGUUUAUCUGUCAUUUACCCUUUUCUAAUUAGCUCCGUGACUUUGGUUUGGACUCAUAUCUUCCUCUCUCCUCACCUCCUUCCUUUCCACCUCCCAUACCUUCUUCCUCUUCCACGCAUGUCUCCAUUGGACCUUUGGAUUAUGAGGUUCUUGGGUGCAGAGUAGCCAUUGCUGGGAGCAGAGUUCCUCAGUAACUGCAUAGUUUUGGGUUGUUCAACUUUUUGAUCUUAUUGUAAAUAUAUGGCAGUUUUUUUUGUCUUGAAGCUGUAAUCUUGUUAGUGACUACUGGCAUUUUUUUAUGUGAAUGGAGACCUGAAGAUUCUAUUCAUAGUUCAUCUACUCGAUAUUUUGUGUUAUGCAUUUUAUUAUUGAUUUGAGUAUUUUGGAAAUUCUGCAACACCGUGCAUUCAUUACAAAGUCCCAUUUUUUUUCUUCUCAAUUUGUUCGAAAAUUACAAUUCUGCAGUUUACAUUGAAAAUUUGCAAUUUGUUGCAUGUGUAGAGUUUGAAUUUGCUUUAUGGAGAUAAAAAUGGAGGAGACAAAAAGGUGAGAGAGACGGGAAUAAGGAGAGAGAUAUGGAAGAGAGACAAAAAGGGAGAAAGAGAGAGAGAGAGAG